AGCUACCUAACAAUUUCAUACAACAGAAAAUGUUGGAAAAGAGCCUUUCUAAAAGAGGAGGUACAGUAAAUGCACCCCAUAUACACCUCACCUAGGCCCUUUGCCUGGUCUGUAUUGUGAAUUGGGGGACAAAA